UACGUAGGGGGCAAGCGUUGUCCGGAUUUAUUGGGCGUAAAGAGCGUGUAGGCGGCCAAGCAGGUCCGCUGUGAAAACUCGAGGCUCAACCUCGAGAGGUCGGUGGAAACCGUUUGGCUAGAGUCCGGAAGAGGAGAGUGGAAUUCCCGGUGUAGCGGUGAAAUGCGCAGAUAUCGGGAAGAACACCCGUGGCGAAGGCGGCUCUCUGGGACGGUACUGACGCUGAGACGCGAAAGCGUGGGGAGCGAAUGGG
rnacentral:rRNA from 1 species